GACGAACGCUGGCGGUAUGCUUAACACAUGCAAGUCGAACGAGAAGUCUUUUAUUGAACCUUCGGGGGAUAUAAGAGACAGACAGUGGCGAACGGGUGAGUAACGCGUGGGCAACCUACCUAUCGGAGCGGGAUAGCCUCGAGAAAUCGGGAGUAAAACCGCAUACACGGAUAUAUCGCAUGAUGAAUCCGUCAAAACUCCGGUGCCGAUAGAUGGGCCCGCGUCUGAUUAGCUAGUUGGUAAGGUAAGGGCUUACCAAGGCAACGAUCAGUAGCCGGUCUGAGAGGGCGAACGGCCACACUGGAACUGAGACACGGUCCAGACUCCUACGGGAGGCAGCAGUGGGGAAUAUUGCGCAAUGGGGGCAACCCUGACGCAGCAAUACCGCGUGAGUGAAGAAGGUUUUCGGAUCGUAAAGCUCUGUUAUUGGGGAAGAAGCAAA
rnacentral:rRNA from 1 species